UCGAACGAGAGACCUUCGGGUCUCUAGUGGCGAACGGGUGAGUAACACGUAGGGAACCUGCCCGCGCACCGGGAAUACGCUCUGGAAACGGAGAACAAAUCCCGAUGUACAGGAAGGAGGCAUCUUCUUUCUGUGAAACAUCCUUUAGGGGAUGGGGCGCGGAUGGACCUGCGGUGCAUUAGUUGGUUGGCGGGGUAAAGGCCCACCAAGACGAUGAUGCAUAGCCGGCCUGAGAGGGCGGACGGCCACAUUGGGACUGAGACACGGCCCAGACUCCUGCGGGAGGCAGCAGUAGGGAAUUUUCGUCAAUGGGCGCAAGCCUGAACGAGCGAUGCCGCGUGAGUGAAGAAGGCCUUCGGGUCGUAAAGCUCUGUUGCGGGGGAAAAAAGGCAGCAUCAGGAAAUGGGUGCUGACUGAUGGUGCCCCGCCAGAAAGUCACGGCUAACUACGUGCCAGCAGCCGCGGUAAUACGUAGGUGGCGAGCGUUAUCCGGAAUGAUUGGGCGUAAAGGGUGCGCAGGCGGUCCUGCAAGUCUGGAGUGAAACGCAUGAGCUCAACUCAUGCAUGGCUUUGGAAACUGGAGGACUGGAGAGCAGGAGAGGGCGGUGGAACUCCAUGUGUAGCGGUAAAAUGCGUAGAUAUAUGGAAGAACACCAGUGGCGAAGGCGGCCGCCUGGCCUGUUGCUGACGCUGAGGCACGAAAGCGUGGGGAG
rnacentral:rRNA from 1 species